UAUAAUAUAAUAAUAUAAUAUAAUAUAAUAUAUAAUAUAAUAUAAUAAUAUAUUAUAUAACGUUAAUAUAUUAUAUGACAUUAAUAUAAUGUUAAUAUUAGUGUUAAUAUUAAUAUCAUAUAUUAAUGUUAAUAAUAUUCAUAUAUAGAAUAAAAUAUAAUAGAAUAAUAAAAUAAUAAGUGCUCUGGUUUCCAGCCAUAUAAACGGUGGCCAAGAAACCCCUCUUGUUGUCCCAUGGAUCAGGGAAUCCCCUUGCAGCUGGAGUUGUGCAGGAAAAGGGGAUUUGCCAGCCCUAGACCCACCACGGUGGUUUGGUGGUGAAGAGAACCGUGGUGACUCCCAGCUUCAGGAGUGCCAGGGAAAACUCAGGCACAUCCAAGUUUUCCAAUCCCUGCAUUUUCCCUUCAAUCAAGACCCAUAUUUUCACCUCGGGGUGGAGGGGGUGUGUCUCAAUUUUGAUUAUUCUCUGCUCAUUCCUUCAGAACGAGGAAGACAGAAAAUCUUGGAAGCAAAGAGGAAGGAAAAAAACCCCAGCCAAACCCCUGUAAUCAGCAGGAAAUUCAGGAGAGUUUCAGUUCUCAGAGAGCAGCAAAGAGGCAUCACCCUUAUUUUGUGGGGGAAUUUUGAGCUUGUCUUCUUGCAGCUAUAUUACCAAAACCACGAUGUUUGGCUUUGGGAUUCCUGAGAAACAGAAACUGCAGUGGAGAGGAUUGGGAAGAGCUGGAUGCACACAGUAAAAGAAAAGCAAUUUACGAAGAAAAGAUUUUUUUUUGUUGUUUUAUCAAAAGGAGAAAACGAACAAGAGUGAGUGACCAGCCUGGGCUGAAUAUCCCAACUCUUUCACCUCCUACAGCUCAGACGAGUGACAGGAGGGGUGGUUUAAUUGAUGGCAAACAUUACAGCCGGUGCUGAAUUCUCCAGCCAGGGCAGGAGAGACUUUUAUAGCAGGGAACACGGGGAGCAUUGUGAAAGAUGACUUUGGGCAUUUCUGGGUUAGACUGCAGCAAAAAAAAAAUAAUAAAAAAAAAUAAAGCAAUUUUGCUUUAAUCA
rnacentral:lncRNA from 1 species